rnacentral:other from 1 species
UCAACCCUGGGAUAUUUGCUAGGCCGUCAGACCCCUGAGCCGAUGCUUUUAUACCCGGAGAGUUCUAGCCGUCAUCCGUGUGCAUGUCCGCAAGUCGGAAAGCCUAAAGAUGGCGCGGAACGAUCCACCUUGAACCGCUGGGUUCAAGGGCCACGCGGCCGGCGGUAUCUCGGGGCCUUU